UACGGAGGGGGGCAAGCGUUGUUCGGAAUUACUGGGCGUAAAGGGCGCGCAGGCGGCUGCUCAAGUCAGGCGUGAAAGGCCUGGGCUCAACCCGGGAAUUGCGCUUGAGACUGGGCUGGCUUGAGUGCGGGAGAGGAUGGUGGAAUUCCCAGUGUAGAGGUGAAAUUCGUAGAUAUUGGGAAGAACACCGGUGGCGAAGGCGGCCAUCUGGACCGCAACUGACGCUGAGGCGCGAAAAGCGUGGGGAGCAAACAGG
rnacentral:rRNA from 1 species